rnacentral:rRNA from 1 species
GACGAACGCUGGCGGCGUGCCUAAUACAUGCAAGUCGGCCGCCGUUGCGAACGGGUGAGUAACGCGUAUGUAACUACCUAUUAGAGGGGGAUAACUAUUGUAAACGAUAGCUAAUACCGCAUCCUAGUAGAUGGACCUGCGUUGUAUUAGCUAGUAGGUCUGGUAAUGGCCUACCUAGGCAACGAUACAUAGCCGACCUGAGAGGGUGUACGGCCACACUGGGACUGAGACAAGGCCCAGACGCCUACGGGAGGCAGCAGUGGGGAAUCUUCGGCAAUGGGGGGAACCCUGAUCCAGCCAUGCCGCGUGUGUGAAGAAGGUCUUCGGAUUGUAAAGCACUUUAAGUUGGGAGGCGUUACCAGCAGAAUAAGCACCGGCUAACUUCGUGCCAGCAGCCGCGGUAAUUC